CUACGGGUGGCUGCAGUGAGGAAUAUUGCACAAUGGGGGGAACCCUGAUACAGCAACGCCGCGUGGAGGAUGACGCAUUUCGGUGUGUAAACUCCUUUUAUAUGUCAAGAAAAUGACGGUAGCAUAUGAAUAAGCACCGGCUAACUCCGUGCCAGCAGCCGCGGUAAUACGGAGGGUGCAAGCGUUACUCGGAAUCACCGGGCGUAAAGGACGCGUAGGCGGGUUGGAAAGUCAGGUGUGAAAUCCUACAGCUUAACUGUAGAACUGCACUUGAAACUUCUAAUCUAGAGUAUGGGAGGGGGAGAUGGAAUUAGUGGUGUAGGGGUAAAAUCCGUAGAUAUCACUAGGAAUACCUAAAGCGAAGGCGAUCUCCUGGAACAUUACUGACGCUAAGGCGUGAAAGCGUGGGGAGCAAACAGGAUUAGAUACCCGGGUAGUC
rnacentral:rRNA from 1 species